AACGCGAAGAACCUUACCAGGUCUUGACAUCCAACUAACGAGGUAGAGAUACGUUAGGUGCCCUUCGGGGAAAGUUGAGACAGGUGGUGCAUGGUUGUCGUCAGCUCGUGUCGUGAGAUGUUGGGUUAAGUCCCGCAACGAGCGCAACCCUUGAUCUUAGUUGCCAGCAUUUCGGAUGGGCACUCUAAGGUGACUGCCGGUGACAAACCGGAGGAAGGUGGGGAUGACGUCAAAUCAUCAUGCCCCUUAUGACCUGGGCUACACACGUACUACAAUGGCCGGUACAACGGGCAGUGAAACCGCGAGGUGGAACGAAUCCUAAAAAGCCGGUCUCAGUUCGGAUUGCAGGCUGCAACUCGCCUGCAUGAAGUCGGAAUUGCUAGUAAUCGCGGAUCAGCAUGCCGCGGUGAAUACGUUCCCGGGCCUUGUACACACCG
rnacentral:rRNA from 1 species